GAAACCCUAGCGUCAAAAUCUCUCAGCCAAUCUCUCAGCCAAUUCCUUCUUCUUCCUUUCAAUGCACAGCGAUCUACAAGAUGAUAAAGGCGUUUGGUUUAUGAUGUGCUUUUGAAGCAGGCAACUUUAGUUAAAGAUCAAGUUAUUGAGGUUAAACUAGAUAUUAUGCUUCUUUAAAUAGUUGGGUUAUUGAGUGAAUCUUUUGGUCUUUUGACAGAAGUGAAGAAGUUUGUUCAGAGUAUGCCAAGACACUCUAUUUAGGUCAGUUAGCCUAUUUUUUUGCUCCUUAAAUUUCUUACAAGAAUUUGAAUUUACUUUUUCUUAACUUUAUUUAGGUUAACUGAAUUGUUUAUAAUAUGACAUUUAAAAGAACCAUGCUAAUAGCCCAUAAGAGGCGAAAAGCUAUCUGGGCGAUUUAUGGUGAGGAUUAUGUAUCGGUAUGUCUAAAUGAUGGUUACAAAUGUGAAAAUUUUCUAGAUCGACUUGUGGUAUAGGUUGAAGCUUGAGCUUUCUUAGCAAUAACUGAUUAAAAUGAUGUUGUAUACUUUGAAGGGUCUAUCACGAUACCGUUGAGCUAUCUUUUUUUGGAUUUGUACAAAAUAUUUUGAUAGCAUGGGUAUUUAGACUGGUCAUCCUCUUCCAGCUUCUAUUAUUUCUUUUCUUGAGUGGUGAGAUAAUUUAAAAUAUAGCGCGUUAGUAUAGAGUAUGAUUUGAUCUUUUGAUUCUAAUCAAUUCCUUUUACAUAUUUGAUUGUUUGGACUUAUGUGGCAAGCAGAUGAUGUUGCUUCAGUUACACUCAUUCCAACUCCAGUUUCAGUUUCAACAAAUCCAAAGUGGCUACUGAACUCGCAUUAAAAUACAUUACACUUAGACCUUUCAGCUGGGAUCAAGAUACUGACAAAGUCAAGGUGAGGGUGUAUUUUUGUGUUAAUUGUCUACCAGUUGUAAGUUUAUAACUAUAUAUUAUUUAGUCUUGCUAGCUUUUAAAUGGAAGGAAAAUUUAUUUACCAGGUACACUUUCUUUUUGUAUCUAGAAGGACCAUUUUCAUUCUUCAUCGUUUUAUGCCUUUUAACAGGUGAAUGCUUUUGUUACCCACUUAAUUGUGAGUUGGUUGAUUUUGGGUUACCCUUUACCUUUUUAAUCUCUGUCGGGUCAAAUAAAAAACCUAGGUAUGAAGUAAACAGGUCAAAUGGAUUGAAAAUCACCUAAAAUAUAUUAAAGCAUGCAAUCUCUAUCUAUUAGUUUACUUAGAAGGUGAAUAUAGACAUGUUUUGGUAGCCUUCCCACCAGCUAAUGUCAAGUGUAGUUCUUAUUUUCAAGAAAUUAACCGGUAAAUGCUGAGUUUUGAAUAU
rnacentral:lncRNA from 1 species